GCAGAACAGAAAGGCAUAUAGGGGUGGGUAGACAGGAAGUAGGUCUCUUUGGCUGAGGAUCUCCAGGCAGAUGCUGGUGGUCACGAAGGUUUAGACAGAGAGGCCUACCCCUACGUGGAAGCAUGGGGCCACUGUGCAGAGAUCAGAUACGGCAAAGCACCAGUUCCAAAACCAGCGUCUCCCUUCCGCAGCCCCUCAUCUCCCACGACCCUCUCCAGCUGCUUGGGAGGCUGUCUUGUCAUCUUGACUAGAGCACCUGACCUCCCUCUCACAAGACCCCUGCUUUUCUCUUGAUGAGCUGCUGGAGAAGAACAGACAGACUGAAGAUAGGCACAUGGAGAACACUGUAUUUCAAAGGCAGAAACCAUCAUGGUGCAGUCCUCUGGGCUUACUGUAUGAACAGCAGUAUGCCACAAUUCAUAUCAAUAUAUCCCGAGUUCAGUUCCCAGCACCCAUGCUGGGCAGCUCACAGCUGCCUGGAGUUCCAG